AAAACAGAGGCAGCAGCUCUGAAAGUGACUUGGGUAUCACACAGUGAUGGACAUGUAAUGUUAACAAUGAGGCUUAUAGGUCUCAGUGAGACUUACUGUAUAAAUACAAGGGAACUGAGGUGGCAAUCACAGAUGCACGUUUCCAAGUGCAGUUGUGCAUCUAGCAAAGGCAGAUGAAUGUCUGGAGGAGGACUGUAGUGGUCCUACUGUAGAAAUCAGUUGUCUGCUCUGAGUAUAAGGGUGAAAGACUAAUUGAACCACCCAGUACCUGGUUCUCUCACAAGUUUUCAGUUUCCCUGAGGAUAGCUGGCAUAGAAUCACAGAAUCAUAGAAUGAUUUGAGUGGGAAGGGACCUUUAAGGUCAUGUAGUUCCAACUCCCAGCUAUAGGCAAGGACACCUCCCACUAGACCAGGUUGCUGCAAGCCCCAUCCAGCCUGGCCUUGAAUACCUCCAGAGAUGGGGCGUCCACAACCUCACUGGGCCACAUGUUCCAGUGUUUCAUCACCCUCCCAGUAAAGAAUUUCUUCCUAAUAUCUAAAUCUACCCUCUUCCAGUUUAAAGCCACUUCCCCUUGUACUGUCCUUACAUGCCCUUAUAAACCGUCCCUCCCCAGCUUUCCUGUAGGUCCCCUUCAGGUACUAGAAGGGCACUAUAACGUCCCCUCAGAGCCAUUUCUUCUCCAGGCUGAAGAGCUGCAGCUCUCUCUUUGGAGGGGAGGUGCUUGAGCCCUCUGGUCAUCUUUGUGGCCUUCCUCUGGACCUGCUCCAACAGCUCUAUAUCUUUCUUGUGCUAGGGGCUCCAGAACUGGAUGCAGUACUCCAGGUGGGGACUCAUGAGAGCAGAGUAGGGGGGCAGAAUCACCUCCCCCGACCUGCUGGUCAUGCUUCUCUUGAUGCAACCCAAAAUAUGAUUGGCCUUCUGGGCUGCAAGUGCAUAUUGCCGGUUCAUUCUGAAUCUCUCAUCAAUCAGCACUCCCAAAUCCUUCUCCUCACGGCUGCUCUCAAGCCAUUCUCUGCCCAGUGGCAGAGCAGUUUUAUCCAGUAAAGUGAAUGACCAGGGGUCUUGAAGCUGAAAUGAUCCCAAACUAUUCUCAGGCUUUCAGUGGGCAAGACACUCAGCUCACUGGUGUGGACCUGGGCUAUGGAAUGCGAGUGCUCAGUGGGCCACUUCUGGUAAGCAGGACUGAUGCUGUGGAAUGAACCGAAUGCCAGCUUAAGAUGCUCUACGCUAAUGCUCAUCAGAGCCCAGAAAGGGUGUUGGUUAUCUAGACAGUCGCAGGACAAUGACCACAGAAGUCACAACCUGCUAAGGAGUGUAUACCAACUCACCUGUUAAAUCAAAUAGCCCUCAAAAAGGUUGGUGCCAUUGCUGGUGGUGUGGAGCCAUGAAGGCUACACUGUGACUAGUAAGAGGGUUGUUUGGUGGCCUAGAAGCCUGGGGGGUCAGCCCUGGUGAAGCCAUCACUGGUGCAGAUCGUGGUGUUAGUAGCAACUAUUCAAACUAUUUAAGGCCAAAGUGGAGGACAGUUCCAUGUGAACAGCAGUUGAAGUGGGUCCUAUGCAAAAAGCAAGUACUGGUCCAAAGGGACUGGUGAUGGCCUCUGUAUCCCUCAGCCAACCCAGAGGGAAUCAGAUUCAGAUCUCCCAGUCUGGAGCAGAAGAGACAGGUGGACUGAGGCGCCCAGUGCAUUAACACAAGCUAUCCUGGAGAUGCUACUGAUAUCCAUGGAGAGAGCUCCCUUUUUUUUUUUUUGGUGAUGGGCUGGACACCCUGGAAUGUGUCGGUCCCACUGAGGGGUCCACGCCUUGGAAAGCGUUGCAGUAAAAAAAAAAAUACUAUUAUUAUUUUGGCUGAUGAUACAAAGCUGGGAGGAGCAGCUGACACAUCAGAAGACUGUGCUGCCAUUCAGCAAGAGCAGGACUGGCU
rnacentral:ncRNA from 1 species